rnacentral:rRNA from 1 species
GGCAAUCAGGUGUCGAGUGCAAGUGCACAAGGGAGCUUGACUGCGAGACCGACGGGUCGAGCAGGAGCGAAAGCUGGGACUAGUGACCCGGCACCGGCAUGUGGAAGCGGUGUCGCUCAACGGAUAAAAGGUACCCCGGGGAUAACAGGCUGAUCUUGCCCAAGAGUCCAUAUCGACGGCAUGGUUUGGCACCUCGAUGUCGGCUCGUCGCAUCCUGG